UACGUAGGCAGCGAGCGUUGUUCGGAAUUACUGGGCGUAAAGAGUGUGUAGGCGGUGUUCCCAGUCUGUUGUGAAAUCUCCCGGCUUAACUGGGAGGGUGCGCCGAAAACUGGGAGGCUGGAGUAUGGGAGAGGUAAGCGGAAUUCCUGGUGUAGCGGUGAAAUGCGUAGAUAUCAGGAGGAACACCUGCGGUGUAGACGGCUUACUGGACCAUAACUGACGCUGAGGCACGAAAGCGUGGGUAGCAAACAGG
rnacentral:rRNA from 1 species